GAUGAACGCUGGCGGCGUGCCUAAUACAUGCCAGUCGAGCGAACAGACGAGAGUGCUUGCCCUCUCUGACGUUAGCGGCGGACGGGUGAGUAACACGUGGGUAACCUACCUAUAAGACUGGGAUAACUUCGGGAAACCGGAGCUAAUACCGGAUAAUAUUUAGCUUCGCAUGAAGCAAUAGUGAAAGACGGUUCUGCUGUCACUUAUAGAUGGACCCGCGGUGUAUUAGCUAGUUGGUGAGGUAACGGCUCACCAAGGCAACGAUACAUAGCCGACCUGAGAGGGUGAUCGGCCACACUGGGACUGAGACACGGCCCAGACUCCUACGGGAGGCAGCAGUAGGGAAUCUUCCGCAAUGGACGAAAGUCUGGCGGAGCAAUGCCGCGUGAGUGAAGAAGGUUUUCGGAUCGUAAAACUCUGUUGUAAGGGAAGAACAAGUACGUUAGUAACUGAACGUACCUUGACGGUACCUUACCAGAAAGCCACGGCUAACUACGUG
rnacentral:rRNA from 1 species